CCAUGCAGCCAUCGAUACCGGGGAGCGAGGAGUUCUGGAUCUAUGAAAUUCAAACGAGUUAAUGUAUUUAUCAAGAGUGGUCACCCAACUCUCAGCCGAGUGAAUUUGCUUCCUGUCUUUGAAGUUGAUAACUUUAAUUGAGUUCACACACAGAAUAUUUUAAUGAUUCUGUUGGAACCACGUGAGUCUACCGAGCUUGUGAACCAUGCAACCAGCUAAUGAUUCACCAGUGAACCAUUUUCGGUGGAAAUAACGCUUUGGUUGAUUCUGCCCGUUGCUGUUUCUUCCUUUCAUCGUGUCACCUCUUAUUCAGGUGGGUGGCGGUUUUUUGGCGUAACCCAAUAAUAGGGAAGGCGUUGAUGGCCUUCCGCCCUCUGUCCGGAAACUUGUUAUGGGAUGGCUACAUCGAGACAUGCAGCCAAAACGUUUGUCGGACCCCACAAGGACCCAAAAAGAUUUCCAACGAACGCGUCCGGAACUUGUGAGGAAAGGUGGGCGUCGCUGAGGGAAGAUCGUCGAGUCCCAAUCCGCAGCCAUUGAGGAUUGUCAGGUGCUAAUUGGCUCCUCUGUCUCUCUCCGCCCCGCUUAAUUUUCAAGCCCAAACGUAUCCGGCUCGACUCUCGCGGCUCGUCUCCUUCCUGUGUAUUAAUUCAGCGAAGCUUAAACGAAGCAACAUGGAAGGGACCACCGACGGAAGGUAGGCUAUCCAUGCAAUUAGAUCACUACUUCUUAUGGUGCUCCCGGGUCACACAGUUAAAGCUAAGGAAAAAGGGCAAGAGAAAUGAUGUUCUCUUGUGAAGGGAUCGGCCAGGGAGACUCUACUCAUUAGGCUAAUUAAGUUUGGAUUAAUGUGAGGCAGCGAAUAUGCUUCCAGGUGUGAAAUGCGCUGUUUUAUAAUGAGAACAAGGUGACGAUGUCUCUAGUCAGAGCUUUUGCCCACAUUCGCCAGUGUCUUUAUGAUACAGUAAAUUAUAAGGAAUACUCUUCCUUCUUUUUUUAUAGGUCGUUUCUUUGAAUUUUUGCAUUUCCAGUUUCUAUUCAAUUUCAUUUCGGGCCAUUGGUUUCUGAUGUAUUUCUUCCUAAAUUACAUAAUCUUUUUUUAGAUUCAUGUUCGUGACUCUGACAUCUGUCACUUUCAUUUCCUCUCAGUUUCCCCUCAUCUUUUUCAUUUUCACGUUUCAAAAAGUUACGUGCCAACUUGUAGCAAAGGCUUAAUUUUCUGAUUCCCGUUGGAAAGAAAAAGAAAACAGAGAAAGGAAAGGUCGUUUGAAUGGUGUAUACCAACCUGUACUUUUUCUACCUGAUCCUUUUGCAUACAGCGCAGUGCGAAGCAGAACGAAACGAAGCACCAUUUCCAGUUGGCCAGGCCACAAACAAGCCACUCUUGUUGAUGCAUUUUCUGCGGGGAGUUAUUUGUCUCUCACUUGUUGUUUGCCCUUCUUUUUCUCUAUCGAAGAAAAGCUGACGGCGAUGGCCGAGAAAUGUCAUACGGCAGUUUGAGAACAAAAGAGGAAAUA